GACGAACGCUGGCGGCGUGCUUAACACAUGCAAGUCGAACGGAAAGGCCUCUUUCGGGGGGUACUCGAGUGGCGAACGGGUGAGUAACACGUGAGUAACCUGCCCUUGACUUUGGGAUAACUUCAGGAAACUGGGGCUAAUACCGGAUAGGAGCUCCUGCUGCAUGGUGGGGGUUGGAAAGUUUCGGCGGUUGGGGAUGGACUCGCGGCUUAUCAGCUUGUUGGUGGGGUAGUGGCUUACCAAGGCUUUGACGGGUAGCCGGCCUGAGAGGGUGACCGGCCACAUUGGGACUGAGAUACGACCCAGACUCCUACGGGAGGCAGCGGUGGGGAAUAUUGCACAAUGGGUGGAAGCCUGAUGCAGCAACGCCGUGUGCGGGAUGACGGCCUUCGGGUUGUAAACCGCUUUCGCUCAUGACGAAGCUUUGUGUGACGGUAGUGGGUAAAGAAGCACCGGCUAACUACGUG
rnacentral:rRNA from 1 species